AGCACCGGCUAACUCCGUGCCAGCAGCCGCGGUAAUACGGAGGGUGCGAGCGUUAAUCGGAAUUACUGGGCGUAAAGCGCAUGCAGGUGGUUUGUUAAGUCAGAUGUGAAAGCCCGGGGCUCAACCUCGGAAUUGCAUUUGAAACUGGCAGACUAGAGUACUGUAGAGGGGGGUAGAAUUUCAGGUGUAGCGGUGAAAUGCGUAGAGAUCUGAAGGAAUACCGGUGGCGAAGGCGGCCCCCUGGACAGAUACUGACACUCAGAUGCGAAAGCGUGGGGAGCAAACAGGAUUAGAUACCCUGGUAGUCCACGCCGUAAACGAUGUCUACUUGGAGGUUGUGGCCUUGAGCCGUGGCUUUCGGAGCUAACGCGUUAAGUAGACCGCCUGGGGAGUACGGUCGCAAGAUUAAAACUCAAAUGAAUUGACGGGGGCCCGCACAAGCGGUGGAGCAUGUGGUUUAAUUCGAUGCAACGCGAAGAACCUUACCUACUCUUGACAUCCAGAGAACUUUCCAGAGAUGGAUUGGUGCCUUCGGGAACUCUGAGACAGGUGCUGCAUGGCUGUCGUCAGCUCGUGUUGUGAAAUGUUGGGUUAAGUCCCGCAACGAGCGCAACCCUUAUCCUUGUUUGCCAGCGAGUAAUGUCGGGAACUCCAGGGAGACUGCC
rnacentral:rRNA from 1 species